rnacentral:rRNA from 1 species
UAUGUCCGGAAUCCUGCAGAGAUGCGGGAGUGCCGAAAGGGAAUCGGAACACAGGUGCUGCAUGGCUGUCGUCAGCUCGUGUCGUGAGAUGUUGGGUUAAGUCCCGCAACGAGCGCAACCCUUAUCAUUAGUUGCUACGCAAGGGCACUCUAAUGAGACUGCCGGUGACAAACCGGAGGAAGGUGGGGAUGACGUCAAGUCCUCAUGGCCCUUAUGGGUAGGGCUUCACACGUCAUACAAUGGUCGGUACAGAGGGUUGCCAAGCCGCGAGGUGGAGCCAAUCCCAGAAAGCCGAUCGUAGUCCGGAUUGUUCUCUGCAACUCGAGAGCAUGAAGUCGGAAUCGCUAGUAAUCGCGGAUCAGCAUGUCGCGGUGAAUACGUUCCCGGGUCUU